rnacentral:rRNA from 1 species
CGAAAAAUAACGAUACGGGACUCAUCCGAGGCCCCGUAAUCGGAAUGAGCACACUUUAAAUCCUUUAACGAGUAUCCAUUGGAGGGCAAGUCUGGUGCCAGCAGCCGCGGUAAUUCCAGCUCCAAUAGCGUAUAUUAAAGUUGUUGCGGUUAAAAAGCUCGUAGUUGGACUUGUGUCCCACGCUGUCGGUUCACCGCCCGUCGGUGUCUAACUGGCAUGAUUCGUGGGACGUCCUGUCGGUGGUGGCGAGUCGAAGGAGCGCGCCCUUCGUGGUUCACGCCGCGAUUGUGGUUGCGGUCCAGAGACGGACCCCGAUGAAAUCCUACCGCGGUGCUCUUCACCGAGUGUCGAGGUGGGCCGACACGUUUACUUUGAACAAAUUAGAGUGCUUAAAGCAGGCCUGUUGCGCCUGAAUACUGUGUGCAUGGAAUAAUGGAAUAGGACCUCGGUUCUAUUUUGUUGGUUUUCGGAACCCGAGGUAAUGAUUAAUAGGGACAGUCGGGGGCAUUCGUAUUGCGACGUUAGAGGUGAAAUUCUUGGAUCGUCGCAAGACGGACCGAAGCGAAAGCAUUUGCCAAGUAUGUUUUCAUUAAUCAAGAACGAAAGUUAGAGGUUCGAAGGCGAUCAGAUACCGCCCUAGUUCUAACCAUAAACGAUGCCAGCUAGCGAUCCGCCGAAGUUCCUCCGAUGACUCGGCGGGCAGCUCCCGGGAAACCAAAGCUUUUGGGUUCCGGGGGAAGUAUGGUUGCAAAGCUGAAACUUAAAGGAAUUGACGGAAGGGCACCACCAGGAGUGGAGCCUGCGGCUUAAUUUGACUCAACACGGGAAACCUCACCAGGCCCGGACAC